rnacentral:rRNA from 1 species
CGGCAGAUGGGGGCAACCCUGAUGGCGAGUGGCGAACGGGUGAGUAAUAUAUCGGAACGUACCCAGAGUGGGGGACAACCAGUCGAAAGAUUGGCUAAUACCGCAUCGAUCUAAGGAUGAAAGUGGGGGACCUUCGGGCCUCACGCUCUGGAGCGGCCGAUAGCUGAUUAGCUAGUUGGUGGGGUAAAGGCCACCAAGGCAUGAUCAGUAGCUGGUCUGAGAGGACGUCAGCCACACUGGGACUGAGACACGGCCCAGACUCCUACGGGAGGCAGCAGUGGGGAAUUUUGGACAAUGGGGGAAACCCUGAUCCAGCAAUGCCGCGUGAGUGAAGAAGGCCUUCGGUUGUAAAGCUCUUUUGUCAGGGAAAAUUGAUUGGGCUAAUAUCCCAUUAAUGACGUACCUGAAGAAUAAGCACCGGCUAACUACGUGCCAGCAGCCGCGGUAAUACGUAGGGUGCGAGCGUUAAUCGGAAUUACUGGGCGUAAAGCGUGCGCAGGCGGUUAUGUAAGAAGUGUGAAAUGCCCGGGCUCAACCUGGGAAUGCAUUUGGACUGCAUGGCUAGAGUUGUCAGAGGGGGGUAGAAUUCCACGUGUAGCAGUGAAAUGCGUAGAUAUGUGGAGGAAUACCGAUGGCGAA